GAUGAACGCUAGCGGCGGGCCUAAUACAUGCAAGUCGAGCGAAGCGGGGAAGGGUGAGUAAAACUUGGGUAACCUCCUAUAAGGCUGGGAAAACUAUGGGAAACCGGAGCUAAACCGGACACUUAUAGAUGGAUCCACGCUGCAUUAGCUUGUUUGUAAGGUAACGGCUUACCAAGGCAACGAUGCCUAGCCGACCUGAGAGGGUGGUCAGCCACCCUGGAGCGGAGACACGGUCCAGGCUCCUACUGGAGGCAGCAGUGGGGAAUUGUGCGCAAUGGACGGAAGCCUGACGGAGCUACGCCGAGUGAGGUACGAGGGUCUUCGGAUCGUAAAGCUCUGUUAUUAGGGAGGCGUUACCUACUCAGAAAGCACCGGCUAACUCCGUGCCAGCAGCCGCGGUAAUUC
rnacentral:rRNA from 1 species